CAAUAGAGAGUGGCGCACGGGUGAGGAACGCGUGGGAACGUACCCUUUAGUACGGAAUAACAGCGGGAAACUGCUGCUAAUACCGUAUACGCCCUUCGGGGAAAGAUUUAUCGCUAAAGGAUCGGCCCGCGUGAGAUUAGGUAGUUGGUGGGGUAAUGGCCUACCAAGCCUACGAUCUCUAGCUGGUCUGAGAGGAUGAUCAGCCACACUGGAACUGAGACACGGUCCAG
rnacentral:rRNA from 1 species